rnacentral:rRNA from 1 species
GACGAACGCUGGCGGCGUGCCUAAUACAUGCAAGUAGAACGCCGUUGCGAACGGGUGAGUAACGCGUCGGUAACUGCCUCAUAGCGGGGGAUAACUAUUGGGAACGAUAGCUAAUAACGCCUACUGUGAGCUGGACCUGCGUUGUAUUAGCUAGGUGGUGAGGUAAAGGCUCACCAAGGCGCCGGUACAUCGCCGAACCUAGAGGGUGAUCGGCCAAAAUUGGACGGGGACAAGGCCCAGAAUCCUUCGGGAGGCAGCAGUAGGGAAGUUUCGGCAAUGGAGCGAAGUCUUACUGAGGAACGCCGCGUGAGUGAAGAAGGUUUUCGGAUCGUAAAGCUCUGUUGUUAGAGAAGCGGUAACUAACCAGAAAGGGACGGCUAACUACGUGCCAGCAGCCGCGGUAAUUC